GGCCUACGGGGCGCAGCAGUGGGGGAUAUUGCACAAUGGGGGAAACCCUGAUGCAGCGACGCCGCGUGAGCGGAGAAGUAUUUCGGUAUGUAAAGCUCUAUCAGCAGGGAAGAAAAUGACGGUACCUGACUAAGAAGCCCCGGCUAACUACGUGCCAGCAGCCGCGGUAAUACGUAGGGGGCAAGCGUUAUCCGGAUUUACUGGGGGUAAAGGGAGCGUAGACGGCCAGACAAGUCUGAAGUGAAAAUCCUGCGCUUAACGUUGGAAGUGCGUGGGAAACUGCCGGGCUAGAG
rnacentral:rRNA from 1 species